UAUCGUUUACUUACUUACCUACCUAUCU
rnacentral:sRNA from 1 species